rnacentral:rRNA from 1 species
UGGGGAGUAAAAAAAAGCGUAACAAGGUUUCCGUAGGUGAACCUGCGGAAGGAUCAUUACAGUAUUCUUUUGCCAGCGCUUAACUGCGCGGCGAAAAACCUUACACACAGUGUCUUUUUGAUACAGAACUCUUGCUUUGGUUUGGCCUAGAGAUAGGUUGGGCCAGAGGUUUAACAAAACACAAUUUAAUUAUUUUUACAGUUAGUCAAAUUUUGAAUUAAUCUUCAAAACUUUCAACAACGGAUCUCUUGGUUCUCGCAUCGAUGAAGAACGCAGCGAAAUGCGAUAAGUAAUAUGAAUUGCAGAUUUUCGUGAAUCAUCGAAUCUUUGAACGCACAUUGCGCCCUCUGGUAUUCCAGAGGGCAUGCCUGUUUGAGCGUCAUUUCUCUCUCAAACCCCCGGGUUUGGUAUUGAGUGAUACUCUUAGUCGGACUAGGCGUUUGCUUGAAAAGUAUUGGCAUGGGUAGUACUAGAUAGUGCUGUCGACCUCUCAAUGUAUUAGGUUUAUCCAACUCGUUGAAUGGUGUGGCGGGAUAUUUCUGGUAUUGUUGGCCCGGCCUUACAACAACCAAACAAGUUUGACCUCAAAUCAGGUAGGAAUACCCGCUGAACUUAAGCAUAUCAAAAAACGGGGGAGAAAA